UGUGUAUUGGCGUGGGCCUGCGUUUUGUAGUGCGUUCAAUGAUGAGUGUUUUCAAUUCUGAUUUGCCUGUACUUGUCUCCGCCACCACCCAUUAUUGCGGUUCUAUAAUUGUUUUGUGUUACGUGUGUGUGUGUGUGUGUGUGUGUGUGUGUGUGUGUGUGUGUGUGUGUGUGUGCACGCAUGUGUGUGUUGAUGGUGUGCAUUUUUGUGCUGGGUGAACACUCUGAUCCCUAAACCGCGAUACCGGAGCUCCCAAGCUACAGCCUCACAUUGAUUUAUAGUUCAUCGUUGGGAAUGAGUUCGCUGCUCAUGAUGCUGUUGCGGAUGUUGCGGCCCUAGCUGAAAUUGUCGAAGCUCGCCCUGAUGCCAGUAUCCUGUAGCACUCUGUCACUUUUGCAUCAGCAUGUUCGGCGAAGGAGUUUGCAGAACAUCAGCAAAAGCGGCUGGCCACCCUUCAACCGUUGGUCCAAGCAACGUGCUUCUCUAAAUCAGUUGCAGUGCGGGCAGCUGCUAGUGAGGUGGUGAUGAAGCACUUUGUCUUGUCCUACAAACGAAGUGGUGAGUCAGCCAUUUCCAGACUGAUGAAGGAGCAAGUCGGAGGUAAGAAGCGGGUGACAGCCUCAAGGAAGAUAAUAUUAGCGGUGGCUGAACACCUAGCCAAGAACCAGCAGCAACCCAACUGAAAUGACGACCUGGAUCCCAUCGUCAACCAAAGUGUACAUUUUUCGGUGUUGAUAUCAUCUUAGUCAAUACCUCGAACAGUCUGUGUAAUUUUAUGUCAUAUUUUCUGUCCUAUCUGGUGUUAUGGACGAUUUCUCAUCAAUUUUCGGAUUUUGCGAUAUUGUGUGUUAUCAAGGAAAAUUGUGUUUUUGGCAAGACCUAUUCAGGCAAUUGAAAAACUGA